UACGUAGGGGGCAAGCGUUGUCCGGAAUCAUUGGGCGUAAAGAGCGUGUAGGCGGUCCGGUAAGUCGGAUGUGAAAUCCCCAGGCUUAACCUGGGAACUGCAUCCGAUACUGGAUGGCUUGAAUCCGGGAGAGGGAUGCAGAAUUCCAGGUGUAGCGGUGAAAUGCGUAGAUAUCUGGAGGAAUACCGGUGGCGAAGGCGGCAUCCUGGACCGGCAUUGACGCUGAGUGAGCGAAAGCCAGGGGAGCAAACGGG
rnacentral:rRNA from 1 species